GAUGAACGCUGGCGGCGUGCCUAAUACAUGCAAGUCGAGCGAACGGACGAGAAGCUUGCUUCUCUGAUGUUAGCGGCGGACGGGUGAGUAACACGUGGAUAACCUACCUAUAAGACUGGGAUAACUUCGGGAAACCGGAGCUAAUACUGGAUGAUAUUUUGUACCGCAUGGUUCAAAAGUGAAAGACGGUCUUGCUGUCACUUAUAGAUGGAUCCGCGCUGCAUUAGCUAGUUGGUAAGGUAACGGCUUACCAAGGCAACGAUGCAUAGCCGACCUGAGAGGGUGAUCGGCCACACUGGAACUGAGACACGGUCCAGACUCCUACGGGAGGCAGCAGUAGGGAAUCUUCCGCAAUGGGCGAAAGCCUGACGGAGCAACGCCGCGUGAGUGAUGAAGGUCUUCGGAUCGUAAAACUCUGUUAUUAGGGAAGAACAUAUGUGUAAGUAACUGUGCACAUCUUGACGGUACCUAAUCAGAAAGCCACGGCUAACUACGUG
rnacentral:rRNA from 1 species